UCCAGGUUAUCCCUGGCGGUCUCCUGCGAGUUCCCAACUGAAUGAUGGCAACACAGGACAAGGGUUGCGCUCGUUGCGGGACUUAACCCAACAUCUCACGACACGAGCUGACGACAGCCAUGCAGCACCUCGACUGGACCCCCUUGCGGGGUAGUAAUGUUUCCACCACCGUUGACCAGCCGUUCGAGCCCAGGUAAGGUUCUUCGCGUUGCGUCGAAUUGAACCACAUGCUCCACCGCUUGUGCGGGCCCCCGUCAAUUCCUUUGAGUUUCAGCCUUGCGACUGUACUCCCCAGGCGGCAUAUUUAACGCGUUAGCUCCGGCACGGAUCAACUGAAUGACCCACACCAAAUAUGCAUCGUUUAGGGCGUGGACUAC
rnacentral:misc_RNA from 1 species